GAACGAACGCUGGCGGCGUGCUUAACACAUGCAAGUCGAACGCGAAAGGGACUUCGGUCCCGAGUAAAGUGGCGCACGGGUGAGUAACGCGUAGAUAACCUGUCUUCAUGUCUGGAAAUAAUACGCCGAAAGGGGUACUAAUACCGGAUAUUCUUGCUUUUCAUAAGUUAUGCAAGCAAAGGUGGCCUCUGCAUAUGCUACUGCAUGAAGAGGGGUCUGCGUACCAUUAGCUAGUAGGUGGGGUAAUGGCCUACCUAGGCGACGAUGGUUAGCGGGUCUGAGAGGAUGAUCCGCCACACUGGCACUGGAACACGGGCCAGACUCCUACGGGAGGCAGCAGUGAGGAAUAUUGCGCAAUGGGGGAAACCCUGACGCAGCGACGCCGCGUGAGUGAGGAAGGCCUUCGGGUCGUAAAGCUCUGUCAAGAGGAAAGAAGUGUACAAUGGCUAAUACCUGUUGUAUUUGACGGUACCUCUAAAGGAAGCACCGGCUAACUCCGUGCCAGCCGCGGC
rnacentral:rRNA from 1 species